rnacentral:rRNA from 1 species
GAUGAACGCUGGCGGCGUGCCUAAUACAUGCAAGUCGAGCGAACAGAUAAGGAGCUUGCUCCUUUGACGUUAGCGGCGGACGGGUGAGUAACACGUGGGUAACCGACCUAUAAGACUGGAAUAACUCCGGGAAACCGGGUCUAAUGCCGGAUAACAUUUAGAACCGCAUGGUUCUAAAGUGAAAGAUGGUUUUGCUAUCACUUAUAGAUGGACCCGCGCCGUAUUAGCUAGUUGGUAAGGUAACGGCUUACCAAGGCAACGAUACGUAGCCGACCUGAGAGGGUGAUCGGCCACACUGGAACUGAGACACGGUCCAGACUCCUACGGGAGGCAGCAGUAGGGAAUCUUCCGCAAUGGGCGAAAGCCUGACGGAGCAACGCCGCGUGAGUGAUGAAGGUCUUCGGAUCGUAAAACUCUGUUAUUAGGGAAGAACAAAUGUGUAAGUAACUGUGCACGUCUUGACGGUACCUAAUCAGAAAGCCACGGCUAACUACGUG